UACGUAGGGGGCUAGCGUUGUCCGGAAUCAUUGGGCGUAAAGCGCGUGUAGGCGGUCCGGUAAGUCCGCUGUGAAAGUCGGGGGCUCAACCCUCGAAUGCCGGUGGAUACUGUCGGGCUAGAGUGCGGAAGAGGCGAGUGGAAUUCCUGGUGUAGCGGUGAAAUGCGCAGAUAUCAGGAGGAACACCGGUGGCGAAGGCGGUGAUCUGGGCCGACACUGACGCUGUAGAGCGAAAGCGUGGGGAGCGAACAGG
rnacentral:rRNA from 1 species